rnacentral:rRNA from 1 species
AUUGAACGCUGGCGGCAGGCUUAACACAUGCAAGUCGAGCGGUAACAGAGAGAAGCUUGCUUCUCUGCUGACGAGCGGCGGACGGGUGAGUAAUGCCUAGGAAUCUGCCUAGUAGUGGGGGAUAACUUGCCGAAAGGUAAGCUAAUACCGCAUACGUCCUACGGGAGGAAGGAGGGGACCUUCGGGCCUUUCGCUAUUAGAUGAGCCUAGGUCGGAUUAGUUAGUUGGUGAGGUAAUGGCUCACCAAGACCGCGAUCCGUAACUGGUCUGAGAGGUUGAUCAGGUACACUGGAACUGAGACACGGUCCAGACUCCUACGGGGGGCAGCAGUGGGGAAUAUUGGACAAUGGGGGGAACCCUGAUCCAGCCAUGCCGCGUGUGUGAAGAAGGUCUUAGGAUUGUAAAGCGCUUUAAGUUGGGAGGAAGAGCAGUUAACUAAUAUUUGACUGUUUUGACGUUACCGACAGAAUAAGCACCGGCUAACUUCGUGCCAGCAGCCGCCGUAA